UCCUGCAUUCGAAAGUGGUUUUGGUCUUGUCCGUGGCCUGGUCAUUGAUAGUGCAGGAAGAACAUUCUUGAAAGCAUUUCCCGUGUUUGGAGGGACCGCUUCCAUCCCUGCCAAACCCUGAGCUUUUCAGACA